GACGAACGCUGGCGGCGUGCCUAAUACAUGCAAGUAGAACGCACAGUUUAUACUGUAGCUUGCUACACCAUAGACUGUGAGUUGCGAACGGGUGAGUAACGCGUAGGUAACCUGCCUGGUAGCGGGGGAUAACUAUUGGAAACGAUAGCUAAUACCGCAUAAUAUUGAUUAUUGCAUGAUAAUUGAUUGAAAGAUGCUAUUGCAUCACUACCAGAUGGACCUGCGUUGUAUUAGCUAGUAGGUGAGGUAACGGCUCACCUAGGCGACGAUACAUAGCCGACCUGAGAGGGUGAUCGGCCACACUGGGACUGAGACACGGCCCAGACUCCUACGGGAGGCAGCAGUAGGGAAUCUUCGGCAAUGGACGAAAGUCUGACCGAGCAACGCCGCGUGAGUGAAGAAGGUUGUCGGAUCGUAAAGCUCUGUUGUAAGAGAAGAACGGGUGUGAGAGUGGAAAGUUCACACUGUGACGGUAUCUUACCAGAAAGGGACGGCUAACUACGUG
rnacentral:rRNA from 1 species